UCCCUUGCCCCUCCCCGGGCUACACGCGCCGGGCGGAAGCGAGAAAGCUGACGGUGGGUGAAGAUAGGACUGUUCUCAACAAUGGAAGGUUUAGACAUAGGUCACACACCAAAAAAAAAAAGGAGUUCAUCUCAAUCGACUACUGCUUUAUCUGGAACAGAAAUUGCACAUCUAAAGCAAGAUGAUUCUUAAGCUAAUUUGGAUGCCAGAGCACUUCACAGAAUCAACACAAGAGCUGAAUAACCAAGCUUAAAAAAGCAGGAAACAGGACUGUUUUGAGAACUUCAGUCUCUGCACAUGGCCAACAAUCCGGUUUUGCCAUCAAGGGGGAAAGAGGAGGCUCUGUUCCCAACCUCCAGUUGGGAAAAUGCUAGGAAGUGACUCUUUGGCAUACCUUAAAUUAUACAUCAAUCCCUUGAUCAAACUGCUAAAACUAGGAGAUACCAAGUACAUGCUUCCUGACCAAUUGUGAGGAUCAGGUAGGCAAAGCCACACAUGAU